rnacentral:rRNA from 1 species
GAUGAACGCUAGCUACAGGCUUAACACAUGCAAGUCGAGGGGAAACGGCAUUGAGUGCUUGCACUCUUUGGACGUCGACCGGCGCACGGGUGAGUAACGCGUAUCCAACCUUCCCAUUACUGUGGGAUAACCUGCCGAAAGGUAGACUAAUACCGCAUAGUCUUCGAUGACGGCAUCAGAUUUGAAGUAAAGAUUUAUCGGUAAUGGAUGGGGAUGCGUCUGAUUAGCUUGUUGGCGGGGUAACGGCCCACCAAGGCGACGAUCAGUAGGGGUUCUGAGAGGAAGGUCCCCCACAUUGGAACUGAGACACGGUCCAAACUCCUACGGGAGGCAGCGGUGAGGAAUAUUGGUCAAUGGACGGAAGUCUGAACCAGCCAAGUAGCGUGCAGGAUGACGGCCCUAUGGGUUGUAAACUGCUUUUGUAUGGGGAUAAAGUUAGGGACGUGUCCCUAUUUGCAGGUACCAUACGAAUAAGGACCGGCUAAUUCCGUGCCAGCAGCCGCGGUAAUACGGAAGGUCCAGGCGUUAUCCGGAUUUAUUGGGUUUAAAGGGAGCGUAGGCUGGAGAUUAAGUGUGUUGUGAAAUGUAGACGCUCAACGUCUGACUUGCAGCGCAUACUGGUUUCCUUGAGUACGCACAACGUUGGCGGAAUUCGUCGUGUAGCGGUGAUAUGCUUAGAUAUGACGAAGAACUCCGAUUGCGAAGGCAGCUGACGGGAGCGCAACUGACGCUAAGCUCGAAGGUGCGGGUAUCAAACAGG